UUCAUCCAUAUUGUUAUUUUUAAUUUAUAGUUGACCAACGAUGUUUAAAAACAGAAGUUUAAUUUUUUUUGCAGAAUAAAACUAAACCGGGAAGCGACACAAAGCUUUGUACAAUUGCAGGCUAACAUCUUAGCUUUGCUGGAAGUCUGUUAUUGUUAGCUGUUGAACAGGAAGUAAACUCUACACUGUUGUUUAUAUUCAAUUUAUUGUCGAAGUUGGUGGAGUGGAGACUUUGGACGUCUUUAGGGUCCAUGAACAUUAAUUUGUUCUUUCUUUACGUCCGAAGAACGUCUUGUCAAAUUAAUAAUGAGCAGCGCGAUUCCGAGGAAAAGACGGACAGCUUCUACUUCAUGUUCGCGACGCAACAGCAAAAGAAGCAGAACACAAAUGUCUCAGGCUUCCAUGGAAACCAUUGAUGUGAUAGAAAGCGACAGGUUAAGCAAUGUUCCCAUUUGGUCAAAGCUGCAGUCAGGGUAUGUACCAAACAUCCAGGAGCUCUUCCACAUCCUAGACAACCACCUCAAGAUGAAUCAGGUCGACAACUUCAAAUUCACCUCGCCGUAGCGCUGCUGUUCAAGCUGAGAGAG